rnacentral:lncRNA from 1 species
GAAAACACAAGACAAUGAGGCAACAGGAAAGCACAAGACAACAAGGCAACAAGAAAGUACAAGAGCAAGUUUGAAGAAUCUAGAUAGGACUUUUGUAAUUCAUAGAGCAUAGCUAAUUUAACUUCUUUUUAUCUUUGACAUGGAGUAAUAAGGAGAUCAGCAAGUGCAGUGAAAUCACAGCUUCUGGUAGUCCCAACUACCAGACACUCCCGAACUACACUGACCUGAUUCCUGUUUAGCCCAGGAUAUGUAGGCAAUCUCUGAAGCAGGGUGCUGUCAGCUCUUUCUAAAAUGCUUCGCACGGAAUAUUUGAA